UGGCACAGUAGGUAGUGUGUCAGUCUUGCAAGCUGAAGGUCCCGAGUUCGAUCCUCGG
rnacentral:tRNA from 1 species